rnacentral:rRNA from 1 species
AUUUGGGAUGACCGCUGGCGGCAGGCCUAACACAUGCAAGUCGAGCGGCAGCGGGUCCUUCGGGAUGCCGGCGAGCGGCGGACGGGUGAGUAAUGCCUAGGAAUCUGCCUGGUAGUGGGGGAUAACUCGGGGAAACUCGAGCUAAUACCGCAUACGUCCUACGGGAGAAAGCGGGGGAUCUUCGGACCUCGCGCUACCAGAUGAGCCUAGGUCGGAUUAGCUAGUUGGUGAGGUAAAGGCUCACCAAGGCGACGAUCCGUAGCUGGUCUGAGAGGAUGAUCAGCCACACUGGAACUGAGACACGGUCCAGACUCCUACGGGAGGCAGCAGUGGGGAAUAUUGGACAAUGGGCGAAAGCCUGAUCCAGCCAUGCCGCGUGUGUGAAGAAGGUCUUCGGAUUGUAAAGCACUUUAAGUUGGGAGGAAGGGCAGUAAGUUAAUACCUUGCUGUUUUGACGUUACCGACAGAAUAAGCACCGGCUAACUUCGUGCCAGCAGCCGCGGUNAUACGAAGGGUGCAAGCGUUAAUCGGAAUUACUGGGCCGUAAAGCGCGCGUAGGUGGCUUUGAUAAGUUUGGAUGUGAAAGCCCCGGGCUCACCUGGGAAUUGCAUCCAAAACUGUCUGGCUAGAGUAUGGCAGAGGGUGGUGGAAUUUCCCUGUGUAGCGGCUGAAAUGCCUACAUUUAG